AACGAACGCUGGCGGCAGGCUUAACACAUGCAAGUCGAGCGCCCCGCAAGGGGAGCGGCAGGCGGGUGAGUAACGCGUGGGAAUCUACCCAUCUCUACGGAAUAACGCAUGGAAACGUGCGCUAAUACCGUAUACGUCCUUCGGGAGAAAGAUUUAUCGGAGAUGGAUGAGCCCGCGUUGGAUUAGCUAGUUGGUGGGGUAAAGGCCUACCAAGGCGACGAUCCAUAGCUGGUCUGAGAGGAUGAUCAGCCACACUGGGACUGAGACACGGCCCAGACUCCUACGGGAGGCAGCAGUGGGGAAUAUUGGACAAUGGGCGCAAGCCUGAUCCAGCCAUGCCGCGUGAGUGAUGAAGGCCCUAGGGUUGUAAAGCUCUUUCACCGGUGAAGAUAAUGACGGUAACCGGAGAAGAAGCCCCGGCUAACUUCGUGCCAGCCGCCGCGGUAAAAC
rnacentral:rRNA from 1 species